rnacentral:rRNA from 1 species
CCUAAGGUAGCGAAAUUCCUUGUCGGGUAAGUUCCGACCUGCACGAAUGGCGUAAUGAUGGCCAGGCUGUCUCCACCCGAGACUCAGUGAAAUUGAACUCGCUGUGAAGAUGCAGUGUACCCGCGGCAAGACGGAAAGACCCCGUGAACCUUUACUAUAGCUUGACACUGAACACUGGUCCUUGAUGUGUAGGAUAGGUGGGAGGCUUUGAAGCGUGGACGCCAGUCUGCGUGGAGCCAACCUUGAAAUACCACCCUUUAAUGGCUGGUGUUCUAACGUAGACCCGUAAUCCGGGUUGCGGACAGUGUCUGGUGGGUAGUUUGACUGGGGCGGUCUCCUCCCAAAGAGUAACGGAGGAGCACGAAGGUUAGCUAAUCCUGGUCGGACAUCAGGAGGUUAGUGCAAUGGCAUAAGCUAGCUUGACUGCGAGAGUGACGGCUCGAGCAGGUGCGAAAGCAGGUCAUAGUGAUCCGGUGGUUCUGAAUGGAAGGGCCAUCGCUCAACGGAUAAAAGGUACUCCGGGGAUAACAGGCUGAUACCGCCCAAGAGUUCAUAUCGACGGCGGUGUUUGGCACCUCGAUGUCGGCUCAUCACAUCCUGGGGCUGAAGCCGGUCCCAAGGGUAUGGCUGUUCGCCAUUUAAAGUGGUACGCGAGCUGGGUUUAGAACGUCGUGAGACAGUUCGGUCCCUAUCUGCCGUGGGCGCUGGAGAAUUGAGGGGGGCUGCUCCUAGUACGAGAGGACCGGAGUGGACGCAUCACUGGUGUUCGGGUUGUCAUGCCAAUGGCACUGCCCGGUAGCUAAAUGCGGAAGAGAUAAGUGCUGAAAGCAUCUAAGCACGAAACUUGCCCCGAGAUGAGUUCUCCCUGAGACUUAAAGUCUCCUGAAGGAACGUUGAAGACGACGACGUUGAUAGGUCGGGUGUGUAAGCGCAGCGAUGCGUUGAGCUAACCGAUACUAAUGAACCGUGAGGCUUAACCUUACAACGCCGAAG